GAUGAAGAACGCAGCGAAAUGCGAUAAGUAGUGUGAAUUGCAGAAUUCAGUGAAUCAUCGAAUCUUUGAACGCACAUUGCGCCCUUUGGUAUUCCUUAGGGCAUGCCUGUUCGAGCGUCAUUUAAACCUUCAAGCUCAGCUUGGUGUUGGGUGACUGUCCGCCGCCUCCGGGCGCGUGGACUCGCCUCAAAAUUAUUGGCGGCCGGUACAUUGGCUUCGAGCGCAGCAGAAACGCGAACUCGGGCCCGUCGUAUUGGCUCCCAGAAGCUAUCUUCACAAUUUUGACCUCGGAUCAGGUAGGGAUACCCGCUGAACUUAAGCAUAUCAAUACGGAGGA
rnacentral:misc_RNA from 1 species